UAUGUAUUGAUGGCUGCAGAUGGUUAAUGAAGAAGAAAAAUCAUGACAUGGUGGAAAUAAUUCACAUAUGAUGAAGACGGUGGUCUAAGGGAAAAUCGUGUGGGACCAAAGGGAACAUUACCUUCUUUUUUUUGUGUAGUUAAAAUUUUUGCACUUUUUUCUUCUUUUGUACUCUUAUAAAAUGCAAUGUAAAAACAACUCUUUUUGUAAUUUUGUUUUAAAAUGUAAAAACUAAAGUCUUGUAUUAUUUAAAACUAAUGUAAUAAAACCCUUCUCCUUAUAUUCUUAAAAUGUAAUGCAUACUAUUUUUUU
rnacentral:lncRNA from 1 species